UUGAAGUCCUCGUGGAUUGUUCAUGUUUCUAACGUAUCCCCUUGCUCGCCGGCCUCUUGUUUCACCAAAACGUUGGUCGUUUUGGAAGUUAAUUUCAUUCCGUGGUGGUGGCUGUGGGAAUUCUCCUCUUCGGUUUAACAGUUCGACACUUUCCAUCAACCUAUCAAAUUUGUUGUGGAGAUCUCCCAAAGAUUCUUCAACAGCCAGCAAGCGAACUGUUGAUGUCUUUGGAGAGAGGACGGUGAUUUCCUCCGCCGCUUCUUGCACACGGUUUUCCCCGUGGCAGGGUUGUUAACUCUUCGGCCAGCCAUUCCGUCCAAGAAUCGGGGCUGCUCUGAUACCAAUUUGAUGUAAUUCAAAGUUGGAUUGAUUUUUCAAAAGAAUUCUCUGCCAUAUUUCAGGCUAGGAGACUGUUAUAUAUUGAUAUCUCAAGGUUAGUUACAAGUUAGUUACAAGGUUGUUUUAGGAAGUUAGUUACAAGACUGUUUUAGGAAGUUAGUUACAGCUGUAUUUCUAAUUAGUUAGGGAUUUUUACUAACUAACUAGCUAUAGUUUACAUCAUAGAUAGCCAAAAU